GCCUGUUGGGGCGGCUAAACAUGCAGUCGAACGGUAACAUUUCUAGCUUGCUAGAAGAUGACGAGUGGCGGACGGGUGAGUAAUGCUUGGGAACUUGCCUUUGCGAGGGGGAUAACAGUUGGAAACGACUGCUAAUACCGCAUAAUGUCUUCGGACCAAACGGGGCUUCGGCUCCGGCGCAAAGAGAGGCCCAAGUGAGAUUAGCUAGUUGGUAAGGUAACGGCUUACCAAGGCGACGAUCUCUAGCUGUUCUGAGAGGAAGAUCAGCCACACUGGGACUGAGACACGGCCCAGACUCCUACGGGAGGCAGCAGUGGGGAAUAUUGCACAAUGGGGGAAACCCUGAUGCAGCCAUGCCGCGUGUGUGAAGAAGGCCUUCGGGUUGUAAAGCACUUUCAGUUGUGAGGAAAAGUUAGUAGUUAAUACCUGCUAGCCGUGACGUUAACAACAGAAGAAGCACCGGCUAACUCCGUGCCAGCAGCCGCGGUAAUACGGAGGGUGCGAGCGUUAAUCGGAAUUACUGGGCGUAAAGCGCACGCAGGCGGUUUGUUAAGCUAGAUGUGAAAGCCCCGGGCUCAACCUGGGAUGGUCAUUUAGAACUGGCAGACUAGAGUCUUGGAGAGGGGAGUGGAAUUCCAGGUGUAGCGGUGAAAUGCGUAGAUAUCUGGAGGAACAUCAGUGGCGAAGGCGACUCCCUGGCCAAAGACUGACGCUCAUGUGCGAAAGUGUGGGUAGCGAACAGGAUUAGAUACCCUGGUAGUCCACACCGUAAACGCUGUCUACUAGCUGUGUGUGUCUUUAAGACGUGCGUAGCGAAGCUAACGCGCUAAGUAGACCGCCUGGGGGAGUACGGCCGCAAGGUUAAAACUCAAAUGAAUUGACGGGGGCCCGCACAAGCGGUGGAGCAUGUGGUUUAAUUCGAUGCAACGCGAAGAACCUUACCUACACUUGACAUGCUGAGAAGUUUCUAGAGAUAGUUUCGUGCCUUCGGGAAACUCAGACACAGGUGCUGCAUGCCUGUCGUCAGCUCGUGUCGUGAGAUGUUGGGUUAAGUCCCGCAACGAGCGCAACCCUUGGUCCUUAGUUGCCAGGCAUUAAUUUGGGCCACUCUAAGGAGACUGGC
rnacentral:rRNA from 1 species